rnacentral:lncRNA from 1 species
GGCGCACAACUUCCAAAUGCUGAGUGGCGUGGAAUGCCAUUCGGGUCAGAGGCCCGCUUUCUUUUGUCCAAUAGCUUGUUUGUUUACACCCUCACUUUCAGAAAUGCUCAAUGGUGAAUGCUAACUGAAACAGUGUGGGAUCUCAGCGGGAAAUGUACAAAAAAAGAUAGAGGAACCCGAACUGGUAAAUCGUGAGCUAACUGUCAGUCAUCGACCAACUCCAAAAGAUCUCCCUGGACACGUAAAGCAGAUUUUAAAAUGGAAAAGCUGUGGACUCCUGGGAGCACCGAGCUUCACCUUCUCCGCGCUCACACAUCCCAGUGACCUGAGAACAGCAGGGUCCCAGUUCUGGGCUGCUGACCUGAUCGCCGACUGGACGCUUGAGCGAUGCCUCAGAUGUUCUGAGUUUGUUUCUGUCUGAUUCUCUGCAACCCAAACCUGUCCAGACACGUGGACUCCAUCACUGACUCUGUCUCUAAAGU